GAUUUUUUAAUGUUUGCGACAUUUUUGAUUUGGAUUUAAGAGGUUGUUAAAUUG
rnacentral:tRNA from 1 species